AGAGUUUGAUCAUGGCUCAGAUUGAACGCUGGCGGCGUGCCUAACACAUGCAAGUCGAGCGGUAACAGGUGUAGCAAUACAUGCUGACGAGCGGCGAACGGGUGAGUAAUGCUUCGGAAUCUACCCAGUAGUGGGGAAUAACUAACCGAAAGGUUAGCUAAUACCGCAUACGUCCUACGGGAGAAAGCGGGGGUCGCAAGACCUCGCGCUAUUGGAUGAGCCGAAGUCGGAUUAGCUAGUUGGUGAGGUAACGGCUCACCAAGGCGACGAUCCGUAGCUGGUCUGAGAGGACGACCAGCCACACUGGAACUGAGACACGGUCCAGACUCCUACGGGAGGCAGCAGUGGGGAAUAUUGGACAAUGGGGGAAACCCUGAUCCAGCGACGCCGCGUGUGUGAAGAAGGCCUGCGGGUUGUAAAGCACUUUUAGUGGGGAUGAAAAGUUCAGGGCUAAUACCUCUGGGCAUUGACCUAACCCACAGAAAAAGCACCGGCUAACUCUGUGCCAGCAGCCGCGGUAAUACAGAGGGUGCAAGCGUUAAUCGGAAUUACUGGGCGUAAAGCGUGCGUAGGCGGUUUCGUAAGUCGGGUGUGAAAGCCCCGGGCUCAACCUGGGAAUUGCAUUCGAGACUGCGAAGCUAGGGUGCGGAAGAGGGAAGCGGAAUUUCCGGUGUAGCGGUGAAAUGCGUAGAUAUCGGAAGGAACAUCAGUGGCGAAAGCGGCUUCCUGGUCCAGCGCCGACGCUCAGGCACGAAAGCGUGGGGAGCAAACAGGAUUAGAUACCCUAGUAGUCC
rnacentral:rRNA from 1 species